ACUGCGCACGCGCCGAGGCCCGUCACGUCCGCAGUCAUCGAUCCAACCGCGACGGGCAUGGAAGACCCAGCAGUGCGGCUCCCACGGAGUCUUGGGGUUAAUCGGCACCACCGACAGGCAUCCUUCGCGCCUGAACCCGACAGGUCAUCUUUCACAGGCGUGCACGAAGGAACCC
rnacentral:sRNA from 2 species